rnacentral:rRNA from 1 species
UGGGGAAUAUUGGACAAUGGGGGCAACCCUGAUCCAGCAAUGCCGCGUGUGUGAAGAAGGCCUUCGGGUUGUAAAGCACUUUAGGUUGGGAAGAAGUUAUUUUGUUUAAGAGAUGAAAUGAUUGACGGUACCGGCAGAAUAAGCACCGGCUAACUCUGUGCCAGCAGCCGCGGUAAUACAGAGGGUGCGAGCGUUAAUCGGAAUUACUGGGCGUAAAGGGCGCGUAGGUGGUUAUGUAAGAUGGAUGUGAAAUCCCUGGGCUUAACCUAGGAACAGCAUCGGUGACUGCAUAGCUGGAGUACUGUAGAGGGUAGUGGAAUUUCCGGUGUAGCGGUGAAAUGCGUAGAGAUCGGAAGGAACACCGGUGGCGAAGGCGGCUGCCUGGACAGAUACUGACACUGAGGCGCGAGAGCGUGGGUAGCAAACAGGAUUAGAUACCCUGGUAGUCCACGCUGUAAACGAUGAAGACUAGAUGUUGUUCAGCAUGACUGAUUAGUAUCGAAGCUAACGCGAUAAGUCUUCCGCCUGGGGAGUACGGCCGCAAGGUUAA